ensembl:lncRNA
AUGGAGCUGAACACAGGAGCACGCAACACUGCUAGAAGCUGGGGCUGUGGCUUUUGCCACAGGUGUCCUAAAGAAGUGAGCCCUGCCUUCACUGUUCUCUCAGAAAGGAAAGGGCACCUGGGACAACCUGAGCCCAGCUUCAGGCAGCCCUGUCUCCACAGGAACACCUUAGAUGGCUUUAAAGAGGACUACAGUGUGUGACUGAGUGCCAGAGCUGCAGGCUACGGAGUUGCUGGUGGUGGAUGAGGGAAAAGUCCUUUCACUUAAGUGACUAUCAUGAAAGAAAGAAGAAAAGUUCCCAGCAAACUCAGCUCGUCACCAGCAGCCACUUGGGCUGGAGAAGAGGUUUACCAACGAUUUGAAUGAAAUUCAUCCGAACCAAGACUUGAUAUUCAAGGCUGCCCCUCGGCAAAGAGGGGUUUUGCAUUCAUUAAUAUUGCCUUGGGAUGAAGGAAGGAACAGGAGAGCCCUGAUUGACCUUGGACAUUUAUAAAGGCCUUUGGGCUGAUUACAAAGCAUUUGCAGAAAGAUGCAGUAUGAUGCAGCACGACCCACAGAAAUGCCCAGAAGUGCCCAGCUCAUCUAAGUGAGAAGGCAGCUGGCAGGAAAUCAACCUCAGAGAAGAUGGAAAUAAAAUGAGUCAGGAAAAACAGAGUUAAGGGAAGGAAAGUACAGCAACUCUCAAUGACUGUUUUAAAAAGCAAAGGAAAAGGGAGCUGAGAUGACAUACUUUGCACGCUGCUGCCCGAACAAGAGGAGAUACAGGACACCACACUGUGGACUGCAAAGUCAGCUCCUCUCUAUGCCUCAUCAGACAUUUUAGAAGCUGAGAAACUAGGCUUUAAAAUUCCUACUCAUACUUGUCAUUUCAAUGGAUAUUUCCAACUAAGUAAAUGAAUCAGCAAUAUUAGCCCACCAAAUAAACAGAGAAAAAAACCUUCAAAUGCCUUAAAAACAAUUGUCUGUGGUUUUAAAUAGAAUAGACUUGUAACAGAUACCAAAAUAUAUCAUUCAACUGAAAACCAAUUCCACGAAUUCACUGACAUGCUUUCUGGUUUGCAUCAGAAGAGGCGACGCCUUGUUCAGCAGCACCUUACUGCACGAGAGUGUCAGUGGAUCUGCUUGCAGAAUGCUGUGAUGGCAGCAGGAAGAGGAACAGAAGAGAUAUGGCCCCUUUCUCUCAUUAUGCUUGAUUAUUUUUUAAAGUUCAAUGAACUGAUCCAGCCCUGUUAUUCAACAAGCAUCAUGACAUAUCCAGGUUGACUUCUAGCACCUAAACCAUGAGCCAUGAUUUUAGACUCCACAAAACAUGAUGAUCAUGAAGAUAGAAGACAGCAGAUGUGGACUGCUGUUGGAAGGGCUGCAGAAAGGCUUCCUGUUUGGGAGAGAACUUGCUAAGUGACAUAUUCAAUUAAUGGAGCCUUUUAAUUUAAACUUGAUACGGCCAGUGCAAAAGACUGGAUGGAAUGAAGAGCACAGCAUCAACCUCAAAGGUUUUAUAAGUACCCAUCACAGAUUAUUCAAACACAUCUGCACAGUGUUAGAAUAUACUCCAUACACUGCCUGCCCGCACAAUUCUUAUGUUGAAUUUGACAUUUUAUGCUUCACUUAAAAAUGCUUAAUGGCUCUGACCCUGUACACCUUGCAGAGCCGCUGUCCCUGGCUGCUCUCAGCCUCACUGGGCUCAGGGUUGGCAGUGGGCUGAAGACCUCCUCCAGUUUGAAGGGAAGACCCCACAAUAACAAAGUUUUGUGUUUAUGGUUGCUCAUAAGUCCUUGGAAAAUGAACUGCGUUGUUCUGAGGUGUGCAUAAGCUAUGGAAAUUAAAAAUGCAACGGUGUAUGUCGUCUGUAUAAACUGCCCAAGCAUAGGUCAGCUACAUUUUGAAGACCAAACCUUGUGUUCCACAAAAUGCUGCUCUUCCAAUAGAGCAACAAAGUGAAAGCUAAAUCCAAUUUAAAAUAAACUGCAGCUCUCAAAUGGUUGUGUUUUCAAUGCCAUAACUUAGCAGUUCAAAAAACAAGGCAAAAACUUUUUUACUUGUCAAUGCACAAACAAUAUUACCACUUACAGAGAACUGUCAAGUGGGAAAACUUCUUUCAGCAGAAUUAAGAAGAACCACACUUUACAAUACAUUUAUUACAAAUGUUCAGAAAAGCCCUGGUCACUGAAAAAAUCCCAACAUCACCAAUAUUCCUUGUUCAAUCGUUACUGAUGUUCUUAAUGGAUGAUAAGUUGCUCCAUUAGAUAAAGUUUUUUACUUCUUAAAUGAGGUGUGAGGGAAGGAGAACUACAGAGGCAAGCAAUUAUAUUUCUAACAGAAAAUAAAGCAAGUUAAAUGCAUCUGAACCAAAACUCAAUUCCAAAUAGUUUUCCCAUCUCAUGUGCAUUUUCAAUAUUGCAGAUACUAUUUGCAUCCUAAAUGAGAAUGAAAAGCUGUAAAAGUUUUUUGAUGUAAAAACUUAAGAAAAAUUUGUUUCUGUCAAUUGAGUUCAAAUCUGCAACCUUUUACGCUUUCCAUUUAA